AAAAAUUGUUGCGAUAUAGCAUAUGAUUUGUCAUUUGAACGACAUAAAAACUCAAUGUUGACGAUUUCGAAUGGCAAUCAUCUAAAAAAUGGUGGAUUCAAGAUCGAAUGACUUCAUGUCUGUAUUGGAAUGAACAGUCUGUGAUAUUCGAAGGAUAGACAUAACGCCAUAUGAAUUAUUUGCACCCAAAAAAGUAAACGAUGGUGCUUAUUAUUAUCAUCUCAACUAACAGUAGUUGAUCAUUCGUGUUUCAUCUGUUUCCAGUGUUUGGGCUGGCUCGAAAGACAGUCAUUUGAAGCGCUUCAUGCGUUUGCGAGAUAAGUUUUUUCAUUAUUUCUGUGCAGUCGCAAAAAGUCAGUUCGCGACAUCAAAACGUGAAAAUACUGCUGCUUGUCAUCUUCAAGACUAACGUACCCUAGAAAAAUUGCUUUGGAGCUGAUUUCCUGGUAUUGGGAGAGAAACUAGCGUCCGGAUCAAAGGAUUUAUUUGCAUAUUUUCGAGCAAUGCCACUGACAUGGUGUUUUUCAACAUACAGGGAAUAGCCGUUAUUUAGUGCAAAUAACUGGUCAAAGCCAUAGUAUGCAAGGCAAAGAGGGAGUACUGGAAAGGGAGUGAAGUAUACAAUAGGAUGGAUGCCAAAUAGCUGUCAAUUGAUGACUAUGUUGAUCGAAACUAUUAUUCUGGUGAAAUGGUGGCACUAACGAUUCAAUAUCGUACGGGAAUCACAGCCCUAGGAACCACGAGUCCCGAGAGAUUGUAGUUACAG